rnacentral:rRNA from 1 species
AGUGGCGGACGGGUGAGUAACGCGUAAGAAUCUAACUUCAGGACGGGGACAACAGAGGGAAACGACUGCUAAUACCCGAUGUGCCGCGAGGUGAAACCUAAUUGGCCUGAAGAAGGGCUUGCGUCUGAUUAGCUAGUUGGUGGGGUAAGAGCCUACCAAGGCGACGAUCAGUAGCUGGUCUGAGAGGAUGAGCAGCCACACUGGGACUGAGACACGGCCCAGACUCCUACGGGAGGCAGCAGUGGGGAAUUUUCCGCAAUGGGCGAAAGCCUGACGGAGCAACGCCGCGUGAGGGAGGAAGGUCUUUGGAUUGUAAACCUCUUUUCUCAAGGAAGAAGUUCUGACGGUACUUGAGGAAUCAGCCUCGGCUAACUCCGUGCCAGCAGCCGCGGUAAUACGGGGGAGGCAAGCGUUAUCCGGAAUUAUUGGGCGUAAAGCGUCCGCAGGUGGUCAGCCAAGUCUGCCGUCAAAUCAGGUUGCUUAACGACCUAAAGGCGGUGGAAACUGGCAGACUAGAGAGCAGUAGGGGUAGCAGGAAUUCCCAGUGUAGCGGUGAAAUGCGUAGAGAUUGGGAAGAACAUCGGUGGCGAAAGCGUGCUACUGGGCUGUAUCUGACACUCAGGGACGAAAGCUAGGGGAGCGAAAGGGAUUAGAUACCCCUGUAGUCCUAGCCGUAAACGAUGGAUACUAGGCGUGGCUU